GACGAACGCUGGCGGCGUGCUUAACACAUGCAAGUCGAACGCUGAAGCUUGGUGCUUGCCCUGGGUGGAUGAGUGGCGAACGGGUGAGUAAUAAGUGAGUAACCUGCCCUUGACUCUGGGAUAAGCCUGGGAAACUGGGUCUAAUACUGGAUACGACAUGUCACCGCAUGGUGGUGUGUGGAAAGGGUUUUACUGGUUUUGGAUGGGCUCACGGCCUAUCAGCUUGUUGGUGGGGUAAUGGCUCACCAAGGCGACGACGGGUAGCCGGCCUGAGAGGGUGACCGGCCACACUGGGACUGAGACACGGCCCAGACUCCUACGGGAGGCAGCAGUGGGGAAUAUUGCACAAUGGGCGGAAGCCUGAUGCAGCGACGCCGCGUGAGGGAUGACGGCCUUCGGGUUGUAAACCCCUUUCAGCACGGAAGAAGCGAAAGUGACGGUACGUGCAGAAGAAGCGCCGGCUAACUACGUG
rnacentral:rRNA from 1 species